ACACUUACCUGGCAAGGUCAAUACCAUUAUCAUGAAGGUGGUUUUCCCAUGGUGAGGCUUAUCAAUUGCACUCCAGUCAUGCUGACCCUUGUGAUUUCCCCAAAUAUGGGAAACUCGGCUGCAUAAUUUGUGGUAGUGGGGAACUUUGUUUGCUUUCUCCCCUG